GAUGAACGCUGGCGGCGUGCUUAACACAUGCAAGUCGAACGAUGAAGCCCAGCUUGCUGGGUGGUUUAGUGGCGAACGGGUGAGUAACACGUGAGUAACCUGCCCUUGACUCUGGGAUAAGCCUGGGAAACUGGGUCUAAUACUGGAUAUGACUUCUCAUCGCAUGGUGGGGGGUGGAAAGAUUUAUUGGUCUUGGAUGGACUCGCGGCCUAUCAGCUUGUUGGUGAGGUAAUGGCUCACCAAGGCGACGACGGGUAGCCGGCCUGAGGGGGUGACCGGCCCCACUGGGACUGAGACACGGCCCAGACUCCUACGGGAGGCAGCAGUGGGGAAUAUUGCACAAUGGGCGCAAGCCUGAUGCAGCGACGCCGCGUGAGGGAUGACGGCCUUCGGGUUGUAAACCUCUUUCAGUAGGGAAGAAGCGAGAGUGACGGUACCUGCAGAAGAAGCGCCGGCUAACUACGUG
rnacentral:rRNA from 1 species